rnacentral:tRNA from 2 species
GCCGGGGUGGCUCAGCUGGAGGAGCGCCGGACUCAUAAGUUAAACUGAGAAAUCCGGAGGUCUCGGGUUCGAUCCCCGAUCCCGGCA